rnacentral:tRNA from 1 species
GCUGAUGUAGCUCAGUCGGCCAGAGCGGCCGCCUCGUAAGCGGCAGGUCGAGGGUUCGAAUCCCUCCAUCAGCUCCA